GACGAACGCUGGCGGCGUGCCUAAUACAUGCAAGUCGAACGCUGAAGGAGGAGCUUGCUCUUCUGGAUGAGUUGCGAACGGGUGAGUAACGCGUAGGUAACCUGCCUGGUAGCGGGGGAUAACUAUUGGAAACGAUAGCUAAUACCGCAUAACAGUAGAUGUUGCAUGACAUUUACUUAAAAGGUGCAAUUGCAUCACUACCAGAUGGACCUGCGUUGUAUUAGCUAGUUGGUGGGGUAACGGCUCACCAAGGCGACGAUACAUAGCCGACCUGAGAGGGUGAUCGGCCACACUGGGACUGGGACACGGCCCAGACUCCUACGGGAGGCAGCAGUAGGGAAUCUUCGGCAAUGGACGGAAGUCUGACCGAGCAACGCCGCGUGAGUGAAGAAGGUUUUCGGAUCGUAAAGCUCUGUUGUAAGAGAAGAACGAGUGUGAGAGUGGAAAGUUCACACUGUGACGGUAUCUUACCAGAAAGGGACGGCUAACUACGUG
rnacentral:rRNA from 1 species